AAAAAAAAAAAAAUGCAACAUGGCUAGGAUAGAGGUACCUUAUGAUGUUGUGGGCUAGGAUAGAGGUACCAUGGGACUGAAUGGAAAAGGUAGACAGUAAAGGUGGGUUGUUCUGUAUUUAUGAUGUUGUUGUGGGCGCUGCUUCAAGUUGUUGAUUUGGUCGUCUGCCUAUCAUAUCAUAUAUUGUGUAGGAAGGAUCUUACUGGAGAGAGUGAUAGAGUAAACAUGUGAUUAUUAGACGAAGAGUGUUGGGAACCACAUAUUUUAGAAAAAGGAAGAAUAGUCGGUGGGAGUGGCUUAUUAGAAGUGAUAGAGACUUGUUGAUAAUGUAGGGGUACAAUCAAAUUUCCAUCUAUUAAUAAACAUGUAGAGGAUGAUAAACGUAAGGUUUGGACUUGGUUUGUCAUUUAACU